AGAGUCGCCUGGAUCACCGCGUUGUCGCAAGGCACCGAGGAAAGUCCGGACUUCACAGAGCAAGGUGGUGGGUAACGCCCACCCGGAGCAAUCCGCGGGAAAGUGCAACAGAAAGUAAACCGCCAACGAAAGUUGGUAAGGGUGAAACGGCGGUGUAAGAGACCACCAGUGCAUGUAGCAAUACAUGUAGCUAUG
rnacentral:RNase_P_RNA from 1 species